rnacentral:tRNA from 3 species
GCGGAAGUAGCUCAGUUGGUAGAGCACGACCUUGCCAAGGUCGGGGUCGCGAGUUCGAGUCUCGUCUUCCGCUCCA